UACAGAGGGUGCGAGCGUUAUUCGGAAUUACUGGGCGUAAAGCGCACGUAGUCGGCUUUGCAAGUCGGGUGUGAAAUCCCCGGGCUCAACCUGGGAACUGCAUCCGAGACUGCAUUGCUAGAGUAUGGGAGAGGAAAGCGGAAUUUCUGGUGUAGCAGUGAAAUGCGUAGAUAUCAGAAGGAACAUCAGUGGCGAAGGCGGCUUUCUGGACCAAUACUGACGAUCAGGUGCGAAAGCGUGGGGAGCAAACAGG
rnacentral:rRNA from 1 species